GUAAAGGCCCUUUUCAGGGCCACCCACUGUUUGAUUUCAAUUCCUU
rfam:Schistosoma rodhaini strain Burundi genome assembly, scaffold: SROB_scaffold0007658